rnacentral:rRNA from 1 species
AGAAUCAACGCUGGCGGCGUGCCUAACACAUGCAAGUCGAACGAGAAAGUGGAGCAAUCCAUGAGUAAAGUGGCGACCGGGUGAGUAACACGUGACUAACCUACCUUCGAGUGGGGGAUAACAUCGGGAAACCGAUGCUAAUACCGCAUAACAUCGCAAGAUCAAAGCAGCAAUGCGCUGGAAGAGGGGGUCGCGGCUGAUUAGCUAGUUGGCGGGGUAACGCCCACCAAGGCGAAGAUCGGUAGCCGGCCUGAGAGGGCGCACGGCCACACUGGAACUGAAACACGGUCCAGACUCCUACGGAGGCAGCAGUGGGGAAUUUUGCGCAAUGGGGGAAACCCUGACGCAGCAACGCCGCGUGGAGGAUGAAGCCCUUGGGGUGUAAACUCCUUUCGACCAAGACGAUAAUGACGGUACUGGUGGAAGAAGCACCGGCUAACUCUGUGCCAGCAGCCGC